UCCGGUUUGUCACCGGCAGUCUUGCAUGAGUCCCCGGCCGAACCGCUGGCAACAUGCAACGGGGGUUGCGCUCGUUGCGGGACUUAACCCAACAUCUCACGACACGAGCUGACGACAGCCAUGCACCACCUGUGACAGUGCCCCGAAGGGAGGGUGUGUUUCCACACCUGUCACUGACAUGUCAAGCCCAGGUAAGGUUCUUCGCGUUGCGUCGAAUUAAACCACAUGCUCCAUUGUUUGUGUGGGUUUUUGUUAAUUUUUUUGAGUUUUAGUCUUGUGGCCGUAGUUUCCAGGCGGAGUGCUUAACGCGUUAGCUACGGCACCUCAGGGGUCAAUACCCGAGACACCUAGCACUCAUCGUUUACGGCGUGGACUAC
rnacentral:misc_RNA from 1 species